GACGAACGCUGGCGGCGUGCUUAACACAUGCAAGUCGAGCGGUAAGGCCCUUUCGGGGGUACACGAGCGGCGAACGGGUGAGUAACACGUGGGUGACCUGCCCUUAGCUCUGGGAUAAGCCUGGGAAACUGGGUCUAAUACCGGAUAUGACUCCAUGACGCAUGUUGUGGGGUGGAAAGCCUUGUGCGGCUAGGGAUGGGCCCGCGGCCUAUCAGCUUGUUGGUGGGGUGAUGGCCUACCAAGGCGACGACGGGUAGCCGGCCUGAGAGGGCGACCGGCCACACCGGGACUGAGACACGGCCCAGACUCCUACGGGAGGCAGCAGUGGGGAAUCUUGCGCAAUGGGCGAAAGCCUGACGCAGCGACGCCGCGUGAGGGAUGACGGCC
rnacentral:rRNA from 1 species